rnacentral:hammerhead_ribozyme from 1 species
AUUCAGCUGACAAGUCCCAAAUAGGACGAAACGCGCGUCAAACUAGAU